UACCAAAUUAGCAAAACUAAUGCAAUUGACUUAGGAUUAAUAGAGAAAGGUGAAAAUCCUUUAUUUGGUAA
rnacentral:tRNA from 1 species